rnacentral:rRNA from 1 species
GACAGAGGGUGCAAACGUUGUUCGGAAUUACUGGGCGUAAAGCGCGUGUAGGCUGCUCGGAAAGUCGGAUGUGAAAGCCCUGGGCUCAACCUAGGAAGUGCAUUCGAAACUUCCGAGCUGGAGUGCUGGAGAGGAAGGCGGAAUUCCAGGUGUAGCGGUGAAAUGCGUAGAUAUCUGGAGGAACACCGGUGGCGAAGGCGGCAUCCUGGACCGAGAUUGACGCUGAUGCGCGAAAGCCAGGGGAGCAAACGGG